rnacentral:rRNA from 1 species
UUGAAAGGGAAACGAUUGAAGUCAGUCGUGCUGGCGCGAAAUCAACCCUCUCGUCUCGAGAUCACAUGGCGCGACGAGCCUCAAAACGGUCACGAAGCGUGAACUCUUGACGAAAAGGUGCACUUUCGUGUCCGCUGGUUAACAUCAAUUUCGAACGUCAUAAAAAGGCUGGAGGGAUGUGGCUCCUUCGGGAGUGUUAUAACCUUUAGCGGAAUGUGGCGUUCGGGAUUGAGGAUUGCAACGAAUACCUUCAGGGCUGUUCCACCUGGCUUCUCAUUGGUAUCCUGGUGACGACAGCUUGCUGACGUCGUUAGGAUCAGCUUCUGAACAGGCUAGAGUGUGAGCAAAUUCGUUAAGGA